GACGAACGCUGGCGGCGUGCUUAACACAUGCAAGUCGAACGGAAAGGCCCUGCUUUUGUGGGGUGCUCGAGUGGCGAACGGGUGAGUAACACGUGAGUCACCUGCCCUUGACUUUGGGAUAACUUCAGGAAACUGGGGCUAAUACCGGAUAGGAGCUCCUGCUGCAUGGUGGGGGAUGGAAAGUUUCGGCGGUUGGGGAUGGACUCGCGGCUUAUCAGCUUGUUGGUGGGGUAGUGGCUUACCAAGGCUUUGACGGGUAGCCGGCCUGAGAGGGUGACCGGCCACAUUGGGACUGAGAUACGGCCCAGACUCCUACGGGAGGCAGCAGUGGGGAAUAUUGCACAAUGGGCGGAAGCCUGAUGCAGCAACGCCGCGUGCGGGAUGACGGCCUUCGGGUUGUAAACCGCUUUCGCCUGUGACGAAGCGUGAGUGACGGUAAUGGGUAAAGAAGCACCGGCUAACUACGUG
rnacentral:rRNA from 1 species